rnacentral:sRNA from 1 species
GCCUGAUUGAGGAAUAGCCCUUCCACCCAGAAGGUUGAAACAUCUGUUCUAGACAAGUCAUUACGUUUUCAUUUCUCACAAUUGGGCUGAGCACAACUGAACCAUGGGGGAACACAGUCCAGACAACAACAUCAUCUACUUUGAGGCAGAGGAAGAUGAGCUGACCCCCGAUGAUAAAAUGCUCAGGUUUGUGGAUAAAAACGGACUGGUGCCUUCCUCAUCUGGAACUGUUUAUGAUAGGACCACUGUUCUUAUUGAGCAGGACCCUGGCACUUUGGAGGAUGAAGAUGACGACGGACAGUGCGGAGAACACUUGCCUUUUCUAGUAGGGGGUGAAGAGGGCUUUCACCUGAUAGAUCAUGAAGCAAUGUCCCAGGGUUAUGUGCAGCACAUUAUCUCACCAGAUCAGAUUC